CCGACGGUGAGGGGUGAAAGCUGGGGGAGCAAACCGGAUUAGAUACCCGGGUAGUCCCAGCUGUAAACUAUGCAAACUCAGUGAUGCAUUGGCUUGUGGCCAAUGCAGUGCUGCAGGGAAGCCGUUAAGUUUGCCGCCUGGGAAGUACGUACGCAAGUAUGAAACUUAAAGGAAUUGGCGGGGGAGCACCACAAGGGGUGAAGCCUGCGGUUCAAUUGGAGUCAACGCCAGAAAUCUUACCCGGAGAGACAGCAGAAUGAAGGUCAAGCUGAAGACUUUACCAGACAAGCUGAGAGGUGGUGCAUGGCCGUCGCCAGCUCGUGCCGUGAGAUGUCCUGUUAAGUCAGGUAACGAGCGAGAUCCCUGCCUCUAGUUGCCACCAUUACUCUCAGGAGUAGUGGGGCGAAUUAGCGGGACCGCCGCAGUUAAUGCGGAGGAAGGAAGGGGCCACGGCAGGUCAGUAUGCCCCGAAACUCUGGGGCCACACGCGGGCUGCAAUGGUAGCGACNAUGAGUUCCAAAAUCGAAAGAUGGAGGUAAUCCCUAAACGCUACCACAGUUGUGAUUGAGGGCUGCAACUCGCCCUCAUGAACAUGGAAUCCCUAGUAACCGCGUGUCAUUAUCGCGCAGUGAAUACGUCCCUGCUCCUUGCACUCACCGCCCGU
rnacentral:rRNA from 1 species